rnacentral:rRNA from 1 species
ACGGGUGAGUAACACGUAGGUAACCUGCCUAUGAGACUGGGAUAACUAUCGGAAACGAUAGCUAAGACCGAAUAACUGGUUUUCUCGCAUGAGAGAAUCAUGAAACACGGAGCAAUCUGUGGCUUAUAGAUGGGCCUGCGGCGCAUUAGCUAGUUGGUAGGGUAAUGGCCUACCAAGGCGACGAUGCGUAGCCGACCUGAGAGGGUGAACGGCCACACUGGGACUGAGACACGGCCCAGACUCCUACGGGAGGCAGCAGUAGGGAAUCUUCCGCAAUGGACGCAAGUCUGACGGAGCAACGCCGCGUGGGUGAUGAAGGUUUUCGGAUCGUAAAGCUCUGUCGCCCUAGACGAACAGCAAGGAGAGUAACUGCUCUUUGUGUGACGGUAUAGGAGAAGAAAGCCCCGGCUAACUACGUGCCAGCAGCCGCGGUAAUACGUAGGGGGCAAGCGUUGUCCGGAGUUAUUGGGCGUAAAGCGCGCGCAGGCGGUUAAUUAAGUUGGGUGUUUAAGCCCGGGGCUCAACCCCGGUUCGCAUCCAAAACUGGUUGACUUGAGUGUAGGAGAGGAAAGUGGAAUUCCACGUGU